GUAUGGGUGGUGCGGAAGCUAGCUUGCUAUAUCGCUGGUUCAAGGUUCACUAUAGAGACUGACCACUGUUUCCUCACAUGGCUGCAGUCCAUGUCUACGAAAAACGGUCGUCUUUUGCGCUGGAGCUUAUCUCUUCAAAAGUAAAGCUUCCAUAUUCGUUACAAGAAGGGUAAGCUUAACGGCAAUGCCGACGGUUUGAGUCGUUGCCCCUAGAGUAGCGAAAGCCUCAUGCUCAUCCGGAUUGCCGUGGAAUUUUUACGUUCGUUCAUAUGUUUUUCUGAAUUCAUACGUUCUUUCGAUGUAUAACUGAUUGUUAGCUGAUUUUAAUAACCAAGUCUUAACGCUUUCAAGAAAUGGCUGUUUUUAGUGUUCAAGGGGGGAGGACGUGCGUAGGGAAUGGGAAAGGUGUAGCGGGUUUUCUCCUUCUUUUUUUAAAGCCGGGUGUGUCUUGGGGGAGGGUGGCCUUGUGCUCACUGCUUUGUGGUUCUGGGUCCGGCACUGUUCUGGGGUGAUUGCUUGCCCACGCAGAAGACGAAAAGUUGCGAGACGUGCUUGGAAGACCAAUUUCGCCGGACCGGACCAGGGAGUAAAGUCACAAGAUAUAUUUGCGUGAUAUUUGGUGAUAUUUGGUGAUAUUUGCGUGUACGAAAAAAAGGGUAUUACUUGAUUCCAGAACAAUUCGAUUUGUUCUACACAUGGUACUGAAAUUUCCAGUUUUAUUUUAAAUAUGGAAUUAGGUAGGAAGCUAUUGUGAUAUUUUUAUGGUGCCCUGGUGCAUUCGGCUUGUGCAGAUGCUACAAGCUUCCAUUCUGCUGACGAAAAUUCGGCUGAAGUCAUAGGAGGAUAGCUAUUAAAGUGUAAUGAAAGAAACCUGAUAGAUAUGCUGGGUUGUGCUGCUGUGGACGCUUAUUUGUUCGCCCUCUUGGGCAAUGCUGUUAUGCUUAUGGGUGCUUUGAUACUGUACGGCCUACAGGAUGGCCAGCAUUACAAAACACAUUAAAACGACUGCAAGGAUUCAUGCCGUUCAAUGACAUCAUAAUUGGUCCAUGAAGUUACCGCCUUUGCUUACACUAUGUGGCGAUCUGGUCCAGUUAACCUGACUGCUAUCUACGCACGAGGAAGAGGAGGGAGGCAAAGAAAGGGACCUGCGAAUAAUGUUUUUGCACAGGUGGCUCAUACAUUGCUAUAUUCUUGCAGGUUUUGUUACUCGAAUUGAAGCGUUCUAUGGGCGAAUAUCAAUAUUUCAUCCCUGUUUAUACCUAGGAAGGAUUGCUUUCUUUACAGUGUCACUUUUAUAUUAUACUCUCGUGACACUAAGUUCCCUUGUUUUAUUACAGGUGUGACAGCGCCUGCAGAAAAAGUGUAGCGAUGCUUGUAUCUUCAAUAUUGACAUGCCUACACUGAAAAGCAAGCUUCUGCUAUGCCGAGGAAGAAUUGUGUGAAGAGCCGACGUAAAGCAACUUUUCGAAGCACUGAACAAGCUAGGUUUGCUGGUAUGGGUUUGCGUACAUUGGUUCGAUGGGUUUUGGAGGCCCAUAUGGGCUAUUUGCCCACACUUAGGAAGACAAACUUGUGGGGUGUGCUUCUGCAGUUUGUACAGCGCACUGAAAGUGCAGGUGUGAGCCACAUCUUCGGAACGAACUGCCCUGGCAGCACCAUUCACGGCGCAGAUGACUCUCACUGAGUUGGGUGUCCUGCAAGCUCUCGCUCAAGCAACACAUUCCACUGGUCGUCUCUCAGCAGACUGGGUGUUUUAAAGUACCAUUAAAAAGUCCAAUAAAGAACGCUGUAUGCGAACUAUGA